AUACUUACCUGGCAGGGGAGAUAACUUGAUCAGGAAGAUGGUUUUCCCAGGGCAAGGCUUAUCCAUUGCACUCCGGAUGUGCUGGCCCCUGCAAUUUCCCCAAAGGCAGGAAACUGGACUGCUUAAUUUGUGGUAGUGGUGACUGCUCUUCCCCU
rnacentral:snRNA from 1 species